rnacentral:misc_RNA from 1 species
AUGACAACUCAUUCACAUCACCCCUUUCAUUUAGUUGAUAUAAGCCCAUGACCUCUAACAGCCUCAAUUGGAGCUUUAACAAUAACUUCAGGUUUAUCUUAUUGAUUCCACUACAAUUCAAUAGGAAUUUUAAUUUUAGGUUUAUUUAUUAUUGUAAUUUCCUCUUACCAGUGAUGACGAGAUAUUGCCCGAGAAGGAACCUUACAAGGUCAUCACAAUUCAAGAGUUAUUUCUAAUUUACGAUGAGGAAUAAUUUUAUUUAUUGUUUCAGAAGUGUUCUUCUUCGUUUCAUUUUUCUGAGCAUUUUUUCACGCUAGUUUAGCACCUUCAGUAGAAAUUGGUACCCAGUGACCGCCUGCAGGUAUUAUUCCUUUUAACCCCUUUCAAAUUCCUUUACUUAAUACAGCAAUUUUACUUGCUUCUGGAGUAACUAUUACUUGAUCUCACCAUGCUCUAAUAAAUGGCAAUCAUCCACAAUCCGUUCAGGCCUUAAUUCUAACCAUUAUUUUAGGUGUAUAUUUUACUAUUUUGCAAGCAUAUGAGUAUAUUGAAGCUCCCUUUACAAUUGCUGAAGCUGUUUACGGUUCCACUUUUUUUGUAGCUACUGGAUUUCACGGGUUACACGUAAUUAUUGGUUCUACAUUUCUAAUAGUAUGUUUAUACCGUAUAACAAAAUUCCAUUUCUCUUCUACCCAUCACUUUGGAUUUGAAGCUGCAGCUUGAUAUUGACAUUUUGUUGAUGUAGUGUGACUUUUCCUUUAUGUAUCUAUUUAUUGAUGAGGAGGAU